rnacentral:rRNA from 1 species
CGCGUGAGCGAUGAAGGCCUUCGGGUCGUAAAGCUCUGCCCUCAAGGAAGAUAAUGACGGUACUUGAGGAGGAAGCCCCGGCUAACUACGUGCCAGCAGCCGCGGUAAUACGUAGGGGGCUAGCGUUAUCCGGAUUUACUGGGCGUAAAGGGUGCGUAGGCGGCCUUUUAAGUCAGGAGUGAAAGGCUACGGCUCAACCGUAGUAAGCUCUUGAAACUGGAGGACUUGAGUGCAGGAGAGGAGAGUGGAAUUCCUAGUGUAGCGGUGAAAUGCGUAGAUAUUAGGAGGAACACCAGUAGCGAAGGCGGCUCUCUGGACUGUAACUGACGCUGAGGCACGAAAGCGUGGGGAGCAAACAGGAUUAGAUACCCUGGUAGUCCACGCCGUAAACGAUGAGUACUAGCUGUCGGAGGUUACCCCCUUCGGUGGCGCAGCUAACGCAUUAAGUACUCCGCCUGGGGAGUACGC